AGGGUCCCUGCCUGUGGCAUAGAGUCUGA
rnacentral:piRNA from 1 species